AUGUUAGAUCUUCAAAGAGCUAUAGCUUUCACCUUUAUCAGGAUGAUUUCAAGCCCACUACUCCAAGUACACCAGCUCUCUCUUCAGCAAAGGUAUGUAUUCAUUGAAUUCUUUCAGGUACUUCAAAAUCAGCAGUAUCACACCAUCACUACUACCAUUACCAUCACCACACUACAUCCACAUCUCAGUUCAUCAUCAUCCAACUGGUCAAACAAACCAAAUACCCAGACUAAUGUCAGGUAUCUUUAACUCUUUCUCCCACCCCCAUCUAACUGAUUUACCAAAUCAUAUGGAUUUUACUUCCUAGAGACCUCUAUAGGCUACCCCUCUCAAGCUUAUACUCAUUGCCUGUACUUUGUCUAGGCCUCUAUCAUCUUUUGCAUCAACUCUUACAGUAGUCUCCUAGUUUACUUUUUCAAUAAUUUCUUCUUCUUAUGGCUAAAGUGAUCACUUAAAAAUAUAAACCUUGUCUGCGCCAAUCCUCUAUUUUAAAUCUUUUAAUGACUCCCCUUUCUUUCAGAGUAUAGCCCAGAUGCCUUGCCAAGCUUACGUCCUUCAUGAGAAAACCUUGGCCAAAAUCUCCAGCCUCACUUUCUAUCAUUCCUCUACUUAUACUCCAAAAUCCACCAAUAAGGGAGGAGAAAUUAUGGCUCUUGAUAUAUAUCAUGCUUUCUUCUUUCACAUGCAACUUCCUCUGAUUGGUUACUUCCUUGAGUCUUUGCUCUUAUAGCACUAUAGCAGUCAUCACACUGUAUCAUAACUCCUUCUGUGUGGAUCUGUUUUUUCCCUACUGCAGAUUGGGAGUCCAUAUAUGGAAGUAGUAAAACAUGGUCUAGGAUUCUGUUUCAAUCUCAUCUCUACCACUUAGUAGCUGUGUGACCCAGGGCAGAUCAUUUAAUCUCUCUGUGUCUAUUCCUUUAUUUGUAAAGAUAGAGUAAUAGUAGUAUCUAUCUCAAGGACUAUUGUUAGGAUUAAAUGAGUUAAUACAUCUUAAAUAUUUAUAAUACCACUUGAAUGUAGUACUCAGUAACUAUUUUCACUAUGAUUAUUAUUAUUACUUAGGUCUUCAAUUUCUAUGACUGCUGCUCCCUCCUGAGGUUAAAGCUCCAUAACUUAAAUUUAGAGAUGGAAUAGAAACCAGGUUUCCCUACUCCCCAUCCUGUCCUUUCUAUUACCACCUGAAAAGCAAACACAUAUCCCUCCUCCUUGCCUCAAGCAUUUGUAUUGUAGCUCCCAGAAUCCUCAGGUUUGAGGUCAUGCUGGAUUCCACGACCUUAAUCAUGUGAUCUGUAAAGAAAUGAUUUCUUUACGAAAUCAUUAAAUAAAAUAAAUCUUACUAUUUUACAAUAUUAAUAUCUUACUCUUGGGGGAGUGAUGUUCAGGGAAAUGAAGAGGAAAGGGAGUGUGAAGGGAAAUGCUGAAGAUCUUACCAAGGUCAUAUUAUGAGCCUACAGCAGGGCCAAUAUAAUGAGCCUCCAGAAGGAGAACAAGACAUAAACCCCAGCAGCCUUGGGUACUUGAGUGAAUUGUACCUCAUCUCAUUAGACAGGAUAAGAAAAUCUAAGCCAUCUAUUGUCUAACCUCACCAUACUAUUGUUUAUUAAUCAGAGUUAUUGUGUGUGGCCAUUCUGUGCAAGGAUCCUUCUCCUGAUCCCCAAAGUGCAGGGGUUUUAAACUCUUUUUUUGGUGACAUCAGCCUCUGUGGCAAUCUUGUUAAGUUUCUGGCCCCAUCUCAGAAUAAUUUUUAAUUUUUUCUUUCUUUUUUAGAUUAAUUAAUCUAUUUUAAUUGGAGGAUAAUUACUUUACAAUAUUGUGAUGGUUUUUGCCAUACAUCAACAUGAAUCGGCCACAGGCAUAUGUGUCCCUCCAUCCAUAAGCUAUAUAGAAUUAAAGGAAACCAAUUAUAUUGAAAAAUAGCUAUCAAAAUAUUUUUAAAAUUGCAUAUGUAGUAAUAAAAGUUCUUUAUUAACACAUUAAAUAACAAGUUCUACUAAUAAUUUCUAAGUUAUAAUGAGCACAAAUGACAUUUCUAGAUCUCUGUCACAACUGUAAUAUGAAAGGAAAUAUCUAUGAUUUCUUCUGGUGACCAAGUUAUAGAAACUAGUAAUAUGAUUGCUAUUUGCUGCCUGCAUUCAUCCUUGAAGGAAGUAGUAAAUUUCAGUUAGAUUAGGGGAAAUAAAAGUAUUUGUUCAUAUCAUCUGUAUUUUUUGAUUUUUUGAAUUCUAUCUAAGGCCCUCUUGUGAGGGUGUCUGUGAAUUUAGGUUAAUAACUCCUUUGGGAGAGUGGCUGGUUUCAGUGGGCCCCAGAAUAGUCUGCCAAGCAUUAAUAGACUAUUUUUAAUGCUUGUUUUCCCCUCUCCACCCCCUACAUCGAGGAGCUCUGCCUUUCUGUCCUUGAGCCUAUCCUUCUGCAUCUACACAUACUCACAAAUACUAAAGUGAGUGAAGUCGUUCAGUCGUGUCUGACUCUUCGCAACCCCAUGGACACCAGGCUCCUCCGUCCAUGGGAUUUUCUAGGCAAGAGUACUGGACUGGGUUGCCAUUUCCUUUUCCAGGGAACUUCCCAACCCAGGGAUCGAACCCAGGUCUCCCACAUUGUAGACAGACGCUUUACCAUCUGAGCCACCAGGGAAGUCACGAGGGUGGUCUAAUUACUCUAAGACAUGUCUAUACUAGAUAGGUCAAUGAACAAGCAUUACUAUCAGGUAUUUAAUACUGAAUAUUUCCCAGUUCAUAUGAACCUGGAAUUUAUUGUUUAAUUUAGAAUUAUUUGAUUUGUAAGUGCUUACCUUUUUUUAAGCCAAAUAAAUAGAGCUUAUUUACAAAUUAACCUCAAAAAUAUUACCCAGAGACAAAGACAUACCAAGACAUAUUUAAACAGACACAGUGCAAGAUCUAGCUUCAUUUUCUAAGUUUAGUCAUGAAUUAGAUAUUAUACUAAACAAGGACACAAAGACAAACAAACCUUCCCCCUUCCUGUAUUGCAUAACUGCAGUGAUUUCCCUGAAGAAGUAGGACCAUUUGAAUCCCAGAGCCCAGGCAGACAUACUUUCCUGGGACAAACACAGCAGGAACCCGUCCUUCUCUCUGUGGGCAGGUUUCCUCACUGACCUCCCAAGCACCACCAGAAACCAGACCCAGUGGAAACAGACUACAAAGGGUGGUGAUCAUAGGUUCACCAGACAGCAGCCCUAAGAGUUCACUUGUUCCUGAUAGCAUUAUCAUAUUCUAGGCUCCAGGUACUCACCAGGCUGCCCCUACACCUCUGUGAAGCACUGGGCCUUGGUGGCCCCUCCAAAGGGAGCCCCCUACUUGCCCCAGGGGCUGGAGCAGGCAGAGCCCCUAGUUUCCACUGUUAAUAACACUGCCUGCAGUCUGGCUGAAUAGAUCCAGAGGGCUAAUUUUGGGCUACCCUCCACCCCGCCUCCACCUCGCUCUGAAGGCCGUGUUAUCUUACUAAUGCCUUUCUGGGAGAGAUCCCUUUGAGAACAGGGCCAUCCAUGGGGAAGUCUUGGAAGGACUGACUGACAGGUGUCUGGCUGUGCUGAGACUUAGGCUCCUAGUGUGUCCCAGGGUACCCCUCCCCACCACUAAAAUAGGCUACAAGGCCAGACUCCUGGCUGUGGGUGUUCCUGUCCUUUCACCAAGGGGCAAGAGAAGGCCCAGUCUUUCUUAGCACACCUUCCUCUGGUCCCAGGCUUCUUCUUUUUCUCUUCCUAACUUAGCCUCUUUGGAUUUCCUAUUUCCUUUUUUGAAUGACCAACAACACAUUGCCCUCUCCUUCCCCCACCCCAAUACCCCUACUCCCAAGAGUGAGGAGGAUGGUGGGAAGCAGAGAAUGCCAUACUGGAACACAUAUCAACAAGGUUUUCCAAAGUUUAGAAGGCCCUAUGUGUGCUAAGUCACUCAGUUGGCCCUGAUCAUUUAUAAAUGCCUCCCCUGUCCACCAACCCACCAGCCUCAGCUUAAAGAAAAUAUCCAGAGCCUUCCCACCCUUUUCACACCUAAGACAUCAAACUAGAUUCAUGUGUCUAGCACUAGGAACUCUGUCAAAAGCUCAGAUCUUUAAAGUAUUGUUUUAGCCCUCUGGUUGCCAUUAAAUGAAGGAAAUGGUAGAGAGAUAUCUUUAGAAAUAGUCACAUUAUCUACCUUAGAUGUCACCCAAAAAAGCAAGUGGAAGCGAGCACCUUCUUCCUCCUGGGAAGAAAUGCCAGGCCAGCAUUUGUUAUACAAACUACAUCACAAGCUAUUGAUCAUGCCUGAGAAACAUUUUAUGGAGAAACUAUUGAGAAACCACUAUGUGUAGGAAGAACUUUUUAAAAAUGUAAAAUAUGGUAUCCUUGAAAGAGUUCACAGUUUAUUAGGAAAAACAGACAUGAAAACAAUUGGUUUUUCUCAUAAUGCUACAAUGGUUAUCUUGUGUCCAUAUCAAUCUCUCAGAUUAGUCCAGGGGGUAAUUGCAGGGUUCUGUGUCCCUACAUGCCACCAAAACAAUAAUAACUUGAAUUUUCCUGCAGAGAUUGCAGUCUAUAUAGAACACUGAUCUGGGCCUUGGUGGCCUCAAAGGAGCCCCUACUUGCCCCAGGGGCUGGAGCAGGCAGAGCCCCUAGUUUCCACUGUUAAUAACACUGCCUGCAGUCUGGCUGAAUAGAUCCAGAGGGCUAAUUUUAGGCUACCCUCCACCCCGCCUCCACCUCGCUCUGAAGGCCGUGUUAUCUUACUAAUGCCUUUCUGGGAGAGAUCCCUUUGAGAACAGGGCCAUCCAUGGGGAAGUCUUGGAAGGACUGACUGACAGGUGUCUGGCUGUGCUGAGACUUAGGCUCCUAGUGUGUCCCAGGGUACCCCUCCCCACCACUAAAAUAGGCUACAAGGCCAGACUCCUGGCUGUGGGUGUUCCUGUCCUUUCACCAAGGGGCAAGAGAAGGCCCAGUCUUUCUUAGCACACCUUCCUCUGGUCCCAGGCUUCUUCUUUUUCU
ensembl:lncRNA